rnacentral:tRNA from 1 species
GUUUUAGUAGUUUAACCAAAACACCGGUCUUGUAAACCGGCAAUGGGAUGUCCCCCUAAUACA